UACGAAGGGGGGCUAGCGUUGCUCGGAAUCACUGGGCGUAAAGCGCACGUAGGCCGAUUGUUAAGUCAGGGGUGAAAUCCUGGAGCUCAACUCCAGAACUGCCCUUGAUACUGACGGUCUCGAGUCCGGGAGAGGUGAGUGGAACUGCGAGUGUAGAGGUGAAAUUCGUAGAUAUUCGCAAGAACACCAGUGGCGAAGGCGGACUCACUGGCCCGGUACUGACGCUGAGGCACGAAGGUCAAGGG
rnacentral:rRNA from 1 species